UAUUACUUUAUUCGGUGCCACCGCUGACAGGCAGCCACGUGGGUAUCCCCAGCGGAAGGGCUGUCUCCUCCCGGCGGCGAGGACAGGAACCCAGUGAGCUGAACACAUCCGACAUUGUACGGAGCAGCAGGAACAGCUGGUAAGCUAGCAAGCGGCAACGGCCCAGCGAGGAGCGUGGAUGCUAAUGAGCCUGGCGACAAUGCCGGCCUUCAGAGGGGCUGGCCUUGUGACCUGCUGUGGCCAAAUAGUUCUGAGACUUCCAAAGUGCUAUUGUGAAGAAGCUGGCACCUCCACCUGGAUCUCUGGAGCCUGUAGCAGCCAUGUCAGAAGCCUGACUGCUGCGAGAAGACCCAAACUAGCCAAGUGGAGGGGCUGCUGAGCCAGGUAUGCCUGGCCAGCCCCAAGCUGUUCCAGCUAUGCCAAUGCAGGUGCCAGAUGUAAGAGACCCUGGGUAAGAACCAUCCAGCUGAGCCCAGUCAACCCACAGAACCAUAGAAGAGCCUCCCUCCACCAUUUUGCCUUUAAACAUUUCUGCAAAAAUCUUUAUAAAGUUCCUUUUUUUUUUUAAGUGACAGUGUCUGCAGGCUAUUCACCGGCACAAUCAUAUUGCACUACAGCCUAAACUCCUGGACUCAAGUGAUCCUCCCACCUCCUGAGGAGCUGGAACUUGCAACACCAUGUCCAGCUCUUGCAAAAAUCAUGAUGCUUAAUUUUGCAAGUUUGCAGACUCUCAUGUGAGAAGACAAUGUUAGGACUUCUAUUAAUAUUUAUCUUUUUAUCUCCAAUGAUGAACUCAAUUAAGCUUUACUGAAAUUUAACACGUGCCUGACACUUGCACCCUUCUUGCUAGGUCAUCUAUCAGACUGUCCUAGGUCAGGUUCAAUGUAUGAGCUGUACUAAGAAAGAGAAGGAGAGGGAGCGAGGGGCUGGCAGUAGAGCCCUCAUUUACUUUCAGCACAGGGAGAGGUACCAUGGUUUACAUGAGCCUCCAAACUGAAGUGUUGAACUUUAUUAUCCUAUAAAUCGUAUUAUCUUUACAAUUCACUGUUCUGAGGCAGAGCAUGAACAUGGAAAUCUUUUGUCGCACACACGAGUUUGCCAUUUAUCUCACAGGAAAGAUCUUAUAAAAGCUGAAAUUUGAAUAUAAAGAUGAGUUGCUCAUUUUUCUUUUUUAUGGAAAGACAAAUGUCCUAAAUUUGGUGACCUUUUCUGUGAUGACAAGGAGCUGAAUUCGUUCAUUCGGCGUGUACUCACUGAAAAAAUAUUUACUCUGCAGCAGGUGCUGAGGCUACAUCCAGGGUUGGUAUUCACCUGGAAAACACCCGCAUGGCUGGCGUCCUGGUCAGUGCCAAACUGGUGUCCUUAUGUACCCACUGUUAAAUAUUUCCACUCUCACCCUUGGAGGCACCAGUGAACAAAGCAGACAGAAAUCUCUGCCCUCACGCAGGGGGCACGGUGUGAGUAAAAUCAGUGAAUUACAUAGUAACUGAGAGGGUGAUAAAGGCUGUGGGAACACACAGCAUGGGCAGCCCAGGCAGUGCUGGGAGGUGUGGGUGCACAUGUGUGCGGGGCUCUCGCAUAGGGAGACAGUGAAGAGGGGCCAAGGGAACAUGCCACGUGGGCAUCUGGGGAGCAGUAGAGGCAGGGGGCAUGGAGGGCACAGGCCUCCCCUGAAGGCCUGGAUGCUGAGGGAGGCAGGGCCCCUGGUGAGGGUGAGCUGGCAGUGACGUGGCUGACUCACACUUUAGUCGCUGGCCCUGGCUGAUGCUCCGAGGAGACUGGGGAGGAGGCCACGGUCAGCAAUGCGCCCUUAGCCAUUCCUUUAGGAAGAAAGAUACUGCUCCCACAAAAGAAAAGGAGAGCGCUGACACUGAGUGAGAGAGUAACUGCUAUUUGAAAGAAACAUGCUGUAAAGAGAAAGCCUUCAAUUGAGAUGUUGGAAAAUGUUGCCUUCAGCAUGGGAAUUUAUUGUCGAAGAUGGUUUCUGUUUUCAGAAAGCACUCAUAUCUCUACUAUCAAAACACUCAUAAACAGAAUUUUAUUUGUUUCUAAACUUCCAAAUAAGAGCUGAGUACAUUUUGAAUCUGUUUGUCCAAAA
rnacentral:lncRNA from 1 species